rnacentral:siRNA from 1 species
UGGAUUGAAGGGAGCUCUA